rnacentral:rRNA from 1 species
GUAGGUGAACCUGCGGAAGGAUCAUUCACACAC